GAGAACUUCUUGCCACGCGCGUGCACCCAUCCGAUCACGCCUCCUGGCCCCUGUCAACCUCCAAUGAUCGUAAUUCAUCUUCACGGAAUCGGUGCCUCUCGUAAAUCACUGAAUGAAUUAAUAGACUUUCGAAGAGAGAACGAUAUCUGGCGCAGAUUGCAAAGCACGCGCAAAUGUACACGUUUCAAAAACCAAAGGUGACCAAAAAAAUCCCUAGAAAAAUCCCUAAAAAAUCAUCGUCCAUCUGUCGAAGGAAAUAUGAUAUAUUGAAACACAUUCGUCAGACCACAGUUGACGAGAGUCGUACCGCCAUAAGCUACAGGAAGAACUUCGACGAUAACGAAUCGCUGAUACAAAGCGAUAGUUGCUUGCUCGCCUUUGUAAUCUCAGCCAGACAGAUCGACUGCGCUGACGGGGAGAGAACGGACGGCCAAGUGAAAGGGCCCGGGGCAGGGCUUGCUUCUGACGACGGUGAUAUAGCAGUCGAUGGUGGUGGUGGUAGUGGUGGUGGAACAUCCGCUAAUUGGAUAAUUACGGAGUACACCGCGUUUGUUUUAUAAUUGGGCGAAAGCCGUGGAACCGUUGGUUCCACCUCGACGUGCCAAACAACGAAACGACCAGAGUCACGCUCUACGUGACGAACUACCCUCGAAGCUAAUCCCACGACCGGAACCCCACGGCUCGGCGAACCCCCCUCUGCACGGCUCGCGCUCUCUCCCGCCUCUGACCCCUGAUUUACCAUCCUCGCCCCUUCCUUCGUCCACCAUUCUCUCCCUUUCUAUCGUGCACGCAACCAAGGAGCAACCAACUUGGAACAAACGGAGAGAAUCAACUCCCUUUCCACGUCUCUUCGCUGGCUCUGUCACGCGGCUUUCAGAUGGAAAAAUCUUGCGUGGCUACGAAGUCACGGCUCGUUAACAACCGCCGCUGGUCGACUCUUAAUUGGGACGGCCCUAAUCGGUUCGCAAUUUUCGGGGACAGUUCGCCGUGACUUUAACGAGUUUGAUGUAGACAACGGAGCUAACGACGAAUCGGGGACGGGUGAGCACGAUUUUCCUCGCGUGUAGAAAGAAGAAAGGUAGAAACAAAGGGAUUUACCUUUUGAUUUAUUUGAUGACAAAUAUCGACGAAGUAAAAGAGUUGUUGCUAUUGCGAUCGAUAGAUAUCAAUGUCGAUUUCGUUGAAAUGGUAACGUGAAUUACAUAUUUAAC